ensembl:lncRNA novel transcript
AUCACAAUGGGAGCUCAUAAAUAAGAAAGUAUUUACACCCCAGAAAUCAGCAAACCUGACAAUUGUGUCUUACUUAUUCCCACUCCCUCACAGUUCCCCACCCCACAACUCCCAGCAACCUAUUAAGGGAUAGAGUGUGUGUUGGCAGCCACAUGAUUAAAGGAAAGAGGCCAAAUCUCUAGAUCCUCCUACAAAGGAAGAAGAAAAAUAGAGCAAGCUGGUUUGAACCUGAGAAGGGGUCCUAGAGCUAUGCACUAACAGGGUACAAGUUUUAAAGUAAAUUUUUAAACUUAACUCAUUCUUUAUGACUUUAGAAUUUUAUUUUUGAAAACAGAUUUUUAAAUUAAAUGCCGGUUCUGAAAAUAAAAGCAGGUAUUCAUUUUCAACUUUGGGGUUUGUUUUUUGUUUUGCUUUGAGUUGCUGUUUUAUGAACUUUGGGGUUUUAAAAAUGAAUUAUAGGCAGUACAUUGAGCUCCAUAAAGACAGUGCCGGGGCAAGUGAGAGCCGGAUGGGCCCUAGGCAACUCUGUGCCUCGCUGAGGAAAAAUAACUAGACAUAGGCAAAGGAGAUCUUAAAAAGCCAAGAGGCAAAAUGCCAUCGUAUGUAUUUUGUGUGCAAACUUGUCCGGAGGAGCGUAAGAAGAAACACCCAGAUGCUUCAGUCAACUUCUCAGAGUUUUCUAAGAAGUGCUUAGUGAGGGGGAAGACCAUGUCUGCUAAAGAGAAAGGACAAUUUGAAGCUAUGGCAAGGGCAGACAAGGCCCGUUACGAAAGAGAAAUGAAAACAUAUAUCCCUCCUAAAGGGGAGACAAAAAAAGUUUAAGGAUCCCAAUGCACCCCAGAGGUCUCCUUCAGCCUUUUUCUUGUUCUGUUCUGCGUGUGGCCCAAAAGUCAAAAGAGAACAUUCUGGCCUGUCCAUUGGUGAUUCGGCGAAGAAACUGGGAGGGAUGUGGAAUAACACUGCUGCAGAUGACAAGCAGCCUUAAAAAGAAGUCUGCAAAGCUGAAGGAAAAAUACAGAAAGGAUACUGCUACAUAUUGAGCUAAAGGAAAGUCUGAUGCAGCCAAAAAGGGAGUUGUUGAGGCUGAAAAAAGCAAGAAAAAGAAAGAAGAGGAAGAAGAGGGAGAGAAUGAGGAGGAGGAAAAUGAAGAAGAUGGUGAUGAUGAAUAAGUUCGAGUGCAGUUUUUUUUCUUGUCACUAAAGCAUUUAACCCCCCUGUACACAACUCACUCCUUUUAAAGACAAAAAAAAUUUGAAAUGUAAGACUUGUUUUUAAACUGUACACUGUCUUUUUUUUUUUUUGUACAGUUAACACACUACCAAAUGUGUCAUUGGAUAGCCCUGUCCUGGUGAUUUUUUUAAUAGCCUCCAUACUGUACCUUGUUUGGUACACUGUGGGGGCUGUAAAUUGACAUGGAAAUUUAAAGCAGGUUUUCGUUGGUGCACAGCACAAAUUAGUUAUAUAUGGGAUGGUAGCUUUACAUCUUCAGUUGUCUCUGAUGCAGCUUAUAUGAAAUAAUUGUUGUUCUGUUAACUGAAUACUCUGUAAUUGCAAAAAAAAAAAAAGUUGCAGCUGUUUGUUGACAUUCUGAAUGCUUCUAAGUACAUACAAUUAUUAUUAUUAUUGUUGUCCUUUUAAAAAUGAACUAUAAACUAUUUCAGACAUGGAAUAAAUAAUAAUUUGAAUUGUUAAAGAUAA